GGGGUUGUGGCUCAGUGGUAGAGUGCUUGCCUAGCACAUGCAAGGCCCUGGGUUCGAUUCUCAGCACCACA
rnacentral:tRNA from 1 species